UCUCCGUUGGUGAACCAGCGGAGGGAUCAUUACAGAGUUUUCACGACUCCCAACCCUUGCGAACCGUACCCAUUCUGGUCUCGUUGCUUCCUGCAGCCUGAACGGCACGGGCGGACACUUCCUCCGCGCCCCACUCGCCAGGGUCGUCAGGGCCUUCGGAGCAUUAACUUUUUACCACCUACAAACUCUUGAUGACACAAACAAAAUAAUCUAAACUUACAACAACGGAUAUCUUAGCACUUUCAUCAAUGAAGAACUCAGCUGAACGAACGAGCAAAA
rnacentral:misc_RNA from 1 species